AACAUCGCGCACCUGCGGGAACCUGCGGAGGGAUCAUUACCAAUUUUAUAUUAUUAGUUUGCCUGUGGCUUCUGUCACCGGUAUUAACUACUAUGUAAACGUUGAACUAGAUCAAUUGGUGUGGAUUGCUUGGGAAUGGACGAAGCGAUGAGCCUCUUCCGGACAGGCAAGCCCCACACUGAUAACCUUUUUCAUAUCAUUUACUCGUACAUAUACUACAAACAACAACAAAGACAAAAG
rnacentral:misc_RNA from 1 species